AUGUCUUUUUAGAAUCUCCAGUAGCACUAAAAUUGUAGUAUUUGGUACUUAAUACAUUUGUUACUUUUCUCAGUAAAGAGUAAAACAUACGAUUAAAUUUACAAGUAUAUCACUAUAUGUUUAAGCUGUCAAUUAGGAAUAACUGUCUUUUUUUGUUUCUUGUGAUUAGCUUGCGUGAUGAAGGCAUUUAUGCAUAACAUUUCUACGCUUGAUCAUCAUCAUCACAACGUUUGAUCCAAUGUUGCCCCAUAUAAAAAAAUGUAUUGAAAAUUUGUCGUUACACUGAACAAAUUUUAAAUGAAAGAACCCAAUUUAUGUUUAGUACUGAAUAAAUUUUGUUUUAACUUCAACAUGUUCAACAUUUUCAAAAUGUUUGAUCAUGUACUCGACGUUUAAGUGUAUAUAAGUAAAUUAAGUGGUAGACUUCGGAAAUGUAUUCUACUAGACACAAAUUUCAAUCUAAAUAAGGGGCAAAUUAUUUAUUGUUUUAACUGUAUCAAAACACAUUUGUUAUUUUAUACUUUCAUUUAUUUUUCUUGUAUAGAAACAAUAAAUUUAAUCACUGAUAA